UACAGAGGUCUCAAGCGUUGUUCGGAUUCAUUGGGCGUAAAGGGUGUGUAGGUGGCGCGCUAAGUCGGGUGUGAAAUUUCGGAGCUUAACUCCGAAACUGCAUUGCGAUACUGCGGUGCUUGAGGACUGGAGAGGAGACUGGAAUUCAUGGUGUAGCAGUGAAAUGCGUAGAGAUCAUGAGGAAGACCAGUGGCGAAGGCGGGUCUCUGGACAGUUCCUGACACUGAGACACGAAGGCCAGGGGAGCAAACGGG
rnacentral:rRNA from 1 species